AAAUUGAUAUUCGGAACCAAAAGAUACUACUUAUUAAAAAAAAAGAAGGUAAAGUUGAACUCUCAAAUCUCAUACUCAACUCUGUUCGGUUGUUCAUGUUCCACUGUUUGUUCGAAAACCUAAAUCCUAAAAUCUGCAGGUCCAAUUGCUCUCUUUGCUCUCGAGUCUCGACUAUGACUCUCCAAGGGCUCCCCAGUCCAGUCCCCUCCGUCUCCAAGUCUCCUUCAAGUUGUCUUUCCCAUACUUCUCGUCCCGGAGACUAAAGGGCUGAGCUUGGAAGAAAUCGAGUCCAAAAUACUCAAGUGAAAAGCGGAAGAGCACAAAAUAAUCUAACAUGAGUUCUCAGAUCUACAAAAAUCUCGAACAAGUAUCUGGAUGGCGUCUUUCAUGUGGGUAUUAGAUUGGAAGAGCUCUUUCCAGCAAUCUGACUAUGUUCAGUUUUAUGCGGUACUCAUUUUAUCCAUAUUGAUCUAGUUAAGACAGAGCAGAAGGUCUUGGCAACUGGUUUCUUCUUCGAGACAUAUAUUCGUCAUCUAUUCGUAAAAAUUACGAUUAAUGUAAAUUCACGUAACACUCGAUAUUAUUACGGUUAAUGAGAUAUUAUUUUUUAUUGUUU